UCCAGCCGGCUCAGGCCCUGGGGUGGGGGUGGGGGCGCCCAUUUUCAGGAUUGUGGAGCACAUGUGGCUGUAGGGGAGGUCUGUGUAUCGGGGGCUAGCUCAGGCUACGUGGUUGUCAGUUGCAAAUGUCGACUGUGUGUGACAUCACGGGGCUCCAUGCACCACUCACAGUAGGACAAAGCGGGGAGACAGACCUCCGCAGCAUAGCUAGAAUUACAACCCUAGACUAGAAUCCGGGACAGCGCACAGUAGGACCAGUCGGGGAGAUUGAUGUUCACAACGUAGCCAGAACGCAAACCGUGGACCACGCACAGUAGGACUAGUCUCACAGAUAGAUACCCGCAGCACAGUCACAGUUAGAACCAGGGACAGUGCACAGUAGGACCACUCAGAAGAUAGGUGUUCACAACACAGUUAGAAUCCAGGACAGUGAACAGUAGAACCAGUGGGGAGAUAGCCAUCCACAGCGUAGUCAGAGUUAGACCCCGAGAUGGCACACAGUAGGACCUGAAUUAGAACCCUAGACUGCACACAGUAGGGCAACUUGGGAAGACGGACAUUCUCAGCAUAGUCAGAAUGAGAACUCGUACAGCGCACACUAGGACCAUUUAGGAGAUAAAUGUCUGUAGCAUAGUCUGUUAAACCGCUAGAGAGCGCACAGUAGGACCAGUCAGGGAGACAGAUGUUUACAGCACAGUUAAGAUUAGAAUCCAAGACAGAGCACAGUAGGACGGAUUGGGAGAUAAAUGUCCACAGCAUAGUCAGAAUUAGAAGCUGGGACAGCACACAGUAGGACCAGUCAGGGACACAGACGUCUGCAGCAUAGUCAGAGUUAGACCCCUGGACAGCGUACAGUAGGACCAGGGUUAGAACCCUAGACCACGCACAGUAGGGCGACUUGGGGGGGAAGGACGUUCGCGGGCAGCGUAGUCCGAAUUAGAACCUUGGACAGCGCACAGUGGGGCAAGUUGGGAAGCUAGACAUUCAUACGGCGGUCAGGAUUGUGGCCCUACGCAGCGCACAGUAGGACCAGUCAGGAGAAAGACACCCGCAGUGUGGUCAGAGUUAGAGCCCUAGACCUCGCAUAGUAGGGCGACGUGGGCAGAUAAGACGCCUACAGCGUGGUCAGGGUUAGAACCCAGGACCCUGCUCGGCCCAAGCAGCUGACUAUGCGCACAGCAGUAGUUGACACUCACCCGGAAGUGAGGAAAAGGAGUUGGGGCAGAACCUGAGGCCGGAAUCCGAACUCACUGAGGUCUGGGGGGCGGGGCACGGGGGGUGACGACAUCUGGGAGGGCGGGACGGAGGGUGAUGGACAGAUGCACCCACAGACAGAGUGCAUCAUGGGAGAGGAAGAGACGGAAGGAUGGGUGUGUAGACGGAUGAUUGAUGGAUGCAUGGAUCGAUAGGUGGAUGAUUGACAGAUGGAUCGAUAGAUGGAUGAUUGACAGGUGGAUCGACAGAUGGAUAGAUGGAUGAUAAUACAUAGAUGACGAGUGGAUGAUUGAUAGAUGAUGGAUGGAUGGAUCAAUAGAUACAUUGAUAGGAUUGAUUGAUUGAUGACAGAUACAUAGAAACUGAUAGAUAAAAAUUGAUUGAUGAUAGGUAGAAAUUUGUUUAUUGACGAUUGAUACACAGAAAUUCUUUGAUAAUACAGAGAAAUUGUUUGAUGAUAAUAGAUACAUAGAACUUGAUUGAU